rnacentral:rRNA from 1 species
UACAGAGGUUGCAAGCGUUGUUCGGAUUUAUUGGGUGUAAAGGGUGUGUAGGUGGUUCGGUAAGUCAGAUGUGAAAUCCUGGAGCUUAACUCCAGAACUGCAUUUGAUACUGCCAAGCUAGAGUAUGUUAGGGGAAAGGGGAAUUCUCGGUGUAAAGGUGAAAUUUUCAGAUAUCGAGAGGAACACCAGUGGCGAAGGCGCCUUUCUGGGACAAUACUGACACUGAAACACGAAAGCUAGGGGAGCAAACGGGAUUAGAUACCCGUGUAGU